GUGAGUAUAGUUCAAUGGUAGAGUGUGUGCUUAGCAUGUAUGAGGUCCUGGGUUCAACCCCCAGUACUUCCA
rnacentral:tRNA from 1 species